rnacentral:rRNA from 1 species
GAUGAACGCUAGCGGCAGGCCUAAUACAUGCAAGUCGAACGGUGUAGCAAUACACAGUGGCGCACGGGUGCGUAACACGUAUGCAACCUACCUUACAUUGGGGGAUAGCCUUUCGAAAGGGAGAUUAAUACCGCAUAAGACAGUAACUAGGCAUCUAGUAGCUGUUAAAGAUUUAUCGAUGUAAGCUGGGCAUGCGUCCAAUUAGUUAGUUGGUGAGGUAACGGCUCACCAAGACGAUGAUUGGUAGGGGAACUGAGAGGUCAAUCCCCCACACAGGCACUGGGAUACGGGCCAGACUCCUCCGGGAGGCAGCAGUAGGGAAUAUUGGGCAAUGGGCGCAAGCCUGACCCAGCCAUGCCGCGUGCAGGAAGAAGGCGUUAUGCGUUGUAAACUGCUUUUAUACAGGAAGAAACGACCCUUGCGAGGGGCAUUGACGGUACUGUAUGAAUGAGCACCGGCUAACUCCGUGCCAGCAGCAGCCGCAGUAA